GACGUAGGGCGCGAGCGUUGUCCGGAUUUAUUGGGCGUAAAGAGCUCGUAGGCGGUUUGUCGCGUCGGAUGUGAAAGCCCGGGGCUUAACUCCGGGUCUGCAUUCGAUACGGGCAGGCUCGAGUUCGGUAGGGGAGACUGGAAUUCCUGGUGUAGCGGUGAAAUGCGCAGAUAUCAGGAGGAACACCGGUGGCGAAGGCGGGUCCUGCCUGGGCCGAUGACUG
rnacentral:rRNA from 1 species